AUCAGUUUCUAGAAAUUAAGUUUUUAAAGCACACUUUAUGCUUCCAAAAGCAUCAGCUAUAAUACAUUAUGAAAUUAUUUUUCUGAAUGAAUAUAUUUUGCUUACAGAAUUCUGUGUAGGACUUAGAUUUUCUACUUCUGUGGUUUGUUUUUAGUAGUAAAGAUUGUAAAAUAGCUGUUUUCAUUUCUUAGCUAAGCACAAUCGUGCAUAAGAAUCUGCUUAUCUUAU
rnacentral:lncRNA from 1 species